GACGAACGCUGGCGGCGUGCCUAAUACAUGCAAGUCGAACGCUUCUUUCCUCCCGAGUGCUUGCACUCAAUUGGAAAGAGGAGUGGCGGACGGGUGAGUAACACGUGGGUAACCUACCCAUCAGAGGGGGAUAACACUUGGAAACAGGUGCUAAUACCGCAUAACAGUUUAUGCCGCAUGGCAUAAGAGUGAAAGGCGCUUUCGGGUGUCGCUGAUGGAUGGACCCGCGGUGCAUUAGCUAGUUGGUGAGGUAACGGCUCACCAAGGCCACGAUGCAUAGCCGACCUGAGAGGGUGAUCGGCCACACUGGGACUGAGACACGGCCCAGACUCCUACGGGAGGCAGCAGUAGGGAAUCUUCGGCAAUGGACGAAAGUCUGACCGAGCAACGCCGCGUGAGUGAAGAAGGUUUUCGGAUCGUAAAACUCUGUUGUUAGAGAAGAACAAGGACGUUAGUAACUGAACGUCCCCUGACGGUAUCUAACCAGAAAGCCACGGCUAACUACGUGCCAGCAGCCGCGGUAAUACGUAGGUGGCAAGCGUUGUCCGGAUUUAUUGGGCGUAAAGCGAGCGCAGGCGGUUUCUUAAGUCUGAUGUGAAAGCCCCCGGCUCAACCGGGGAGGGUCAUUGGAAACUGGGAGACUUGAGUGCAGAAGAGGAGAGUGGAAUUCCAUGUGUAGCGGUGAAAUGCGUAGAUAUAUGGAGGAACACCAGUGGCGAAGGCGGCUCUCUGGUCUGUAACUG
rnacentral:rRNA from 1 species